AAAGUCGUAACAAGGUCUCCGUUGGUGAACCAGCGGAGGGAUCAUUACCGAGUUUACAAACUCCCAAACCCCUGUGAACUUAUACCUAUACGUUGCUUCGGCGGGACUCGCCCCGGCUGCCGACCCCCUCGCGGGGGAGGCGGACCGGACCCAGGCGCCCGCCGGAGGACCCAAACUCUUCUGUCUCUCAUAGCGGCAUGUCUGAGUGGAUUUUUAUACAAAAUGAAUCAAAACUUUCAACAACGGAUCUCUUGGUUCUG
rnacentral:misc_RNA from 1 species